UAGUCCCUAGUGUUGACAGUGGGUUACUUGCCAAUAUUUUUCAUACCCCUUCCAAAUUUAUUUCUCCAUGUUUUAUGCUUCAAAUUGAAAGUAGGGGGUGAAAUUACACUGUAAAAAAAAUUUGGGUCCAGAAUUUCAAAGGAAAGUAGUGAUUUGGUCCAGCUGAAAAAGGUUAAAAAUUAGCACUUCGGAAGCUGUCAAAAGAUUUCAAGACGCCCUAAACAUAAAAUUGUCCAUAUUUUGAGUUAGAACCGAUGAAGUUUUCUAUAAUUUUGAUAUAAUUUGUCCCAAAAGUAGUACAACACACUGUAAAAUUUUCAUUGAGAAAGCGCAGGUGGGAUUUUUUAAUUUCCAUUUAUGUUCUAAAAGAAAU
rnacentral:lncRNA from 1 species